rnacentral:lncRNA from 1 species
GGGGGAGAAUAGGGUGGGAGAAGAUUAAAAGAGGAAGAGGGAGAGAUGGGGCACCCAUCUUUCUUUCUUUCUUUCUUUCUUUCUUUCUUUCUUUCUUUCUUUCUUUCUUUCUUUCUUUCUUUCUUUCUUUCUUUCUUUCUUUCUUUCUUUCUUUCUUUCUUUCUUUCUUUCUUUCUUUCUUUCUUUCUUUCUUUCUUCCUUCCUUCCUUCCUUCCUUCCUUCCUUCCUUCCUUCCUUCCUUCCUUCCUUCCUUCCUUCCUUCCUUCCUUCCUUUCUCUCUCUUUCUUUCUUUUUCUUUCUUUCUCUUUCUUUUCUUCCCCUCUCUUUCCCUCCCUCCCUCCCUCCCUCCCUCCUUCCUUCCUUCCUUCCUUCCUUCCUUCCUUCCUUCCUUCCUUCCUAUUCUCCAAUUGCACCCUUCCUCCUAAACCCAUUCUUCAUCCUCACUGUGGCUUCCAGUCUCUCUUCUUCUCUCUGUUUUCCUAAACUGUUACUCAUAUUCUGACUUUCCUUCUUUCUCAUAACAGG